rnacentral:rRNA from 1 species
UACGUAGGUGGCAAGCGUUGUCCGGAUUUACUGGGCGUAAAGAGCGCGCAGGCGGUCGUUCAAGUCGCGUGUGAAAGCCCCCGGCUCAACUGGGGAGGGUCACGCGAUACUGAUCGACUGGAAGGCAGGAGAGGGUAGUGGAAUUCCCGGUGUAGUGGUGAAAUGCGUAGAUAUCGGGAGGAACACCAGUGGCGAAGGCGACUACCUGGCCUGUCCUUGACGCUGAGGCGCGAAAGCUAGGGGAGCAAACGGG